CACCCCGCGUCCUGACCAUUUCUGCUUGGAAGCAGUCGGCAAGCACGCUGGAAUUUCUAACCAAGACAGGGACAGGCCCGGCUCUGGAGGCUUUUGGUGCAGAAUGGACGGCCACGUGUGUGUUCGGAACGGCCAGCCUGGCCCCUAGCAUCCCAGCCAUGCGUUCUAGCCCAAUGCUCACCUGAUGGCAUGAGGAGGCAACCUGGUCUCCUGCGGAGCAUCUGACUCCGGGGAGAAUGUGCUGGACAAAACAUUAUACGAGGUCUCUGCUGAGGGAUUUCCCAGGCUAGUGGAGGUGACUUUUCACUGAACCAGGGUCCGAG